rnacentral:rRNA from 1 species
AGAGUUUGAUCCUGGCUCAGAUUGAACGCUGGCGGCAUGCUUUACACAUGCAAGUCGAACGGUAACAGGUCUUCGGAUGCUGACGAGUGGCGAACGGGUGAGUAAUACAUCGGAACGUGCCUAGUAGUGGGGGAUAACUACUCGAAAGAGUAGCUAAUACCGCAUGAGAUCUACGGAUGAAAGCAGGGGACCUUCGGGCCUUGUGCUACUAGAGCGGCUGAUGGCAGAUUAGGUAGUUGGUGGGGUAAAGGCUUACCAAGCCUGCGACCUGUAGCUGGUCUGAGAGGACGACCAGCCACACUGGGACUGAGACACGGCCCAGACUCCUACGGGAGGCAGCAGUGGGGAAUUUUGGACAAUGGGCGAAAGCCUGAUCCAGCAAUGCCGCGUGCAGGAUGAAGGCCCUCGGGUUGUAAACUGCUUUUGUACGGAACGAAAAGCCUGGGGCUAAUAUCCCCGGGUCAUGACGGUACCGUAAGAAUAAGCACCGGCUAACUACGUGCCAGCAGCCGCGGUAAUACGUAGGGUGCAAGCGUUAAUCGGAAUUACUGGGCGUAAAGCGUGCGCAGGCGGUUUUUGUAAGAAAGUGGUGAAAUCCCCGGGCU